CCCAUUUAUAGUUUAUGAUGAAAAUCCUGACGAUGAAGCUGAAGAUGAAAGUGGACCGAGCACAAGCAAAAAACGAAGGAUGAAUGAAAGCCAGGAUCCAGAAUUAUGUGACUGAGGGAAGCCCGCACUUUUGGAUCUUCAUGUAUCUAUGCUGCCAAUACUCUGAAUGCUACUAAUCCUCCCAGUCAUUUUGUUGAUCGUGAUUGUAAUUUUUCAAUCAACUACUCACAAUAUUAAUAAAUUCAGUUAAGGCCUGUAAUAA